CCGCCCUUCCUUUCUCGUGCUCCCGGCCGGCGGGCUCCUCUUUCCCCAAGUUUCCGCGUCUGGGGAAAUGGGGGUAAUGGCCGGGGGGUCGGCCCGUUCCCGGCUGGGUGACUUUGGGCAGGUUCACACUUCGAAGUGCACACUUGCGUGAAAAACGAUGGUUGUGGGAGGUCAGCGCAUGUGUGCGUUCACGUUAGCGGUCAACAAACGAUUCAGGAUUCUGAGCUCUGCUUUUCUUCGUUGGAAGAGGAGUUGGUAUUCACACCGCCCUGCAUGAAGCCUGUCCUGUCAGGUCGGGAUCCAUCCAUUCGUUCAUUCAUGCCUUAUCUACUUAUGUUCUAAUUGAGCGUCUACUAUAUGCCCAUCACUGUGCUAGGUGCUGGGGAAACAACAGUGAAGGAGAUAGAUUCAGUCCCUGACGUCGCCGAGCUUACAGUCUGGUGAAGGCGAGACCAUCAAAUUACCACUGAGAUAAAUACAAAGUUUCAAAGCUGUCAGUACUGUGAUACAUGUCUUAUGUAUUACAUGUCAGUAGACUGAUACAUGGCUUAUGCUCUGAGGCAUGUAUAACAGAGAUGCCUUACUCAGUCUGGGGUGUGUGGAAUGCUUCCCUGAGAUUGCCAGGUUUAGCCAAGGUCUGAAGGAGUUGGCCAGCUGGGUGUAUGUUGGGGUAGAAGAAAUAGGCAGAGGCACUGUGGCCCCAGGGAACAUUGUGACACAGUGCAGGACCUGAGGGAGGUAAGUGUGGAUAAUCCUUUAGGUCUUCAGCGGGUGCUCCUGAGAUUUUUUUUUUUUUUAAUUUUGUAAGUUUAUUUUAUUUAUUUUUGAGAGAGAAAGAGAGCACAGGAGCGGUAGAGAGAGGGAGAGAGAGAGAGAGAGAGAGAGAGAAUCCCAAGCAGGUUCCAUGCUCUAAGCGUGGAGCCCAGUGCGGGGCUUGAACCCCCAAACUGUGAGAUCAUGACCUGAGCCGAAAUCAAGAGUCAGAUGCUUAACUGACUGAGCCACCCCAGUGCCCCAUCCCCGAGAUUCUUUAAAUGUCAAAGUCCUUUGACACUCUUCCUGUCGUCUGUGUCCCCUUCCCUAGAAUCUCAGGGAGCUCGUGACUGCUUUGGCAAUUUUUGUGUUAUUUAGGGUGUGGGCUCUAACAGAAACCAAAUUAACAGUGGCUGAAAUGAGACAAAAGUGGCCGUCUCUCUCUCAUCACAGUGCAGAGGCAUGUAGGGCGGCUCAGCUUCCCAGGCUGAUCAGGGACCCGUGAUCCUUCUACUUGUGCCUCUCCAUCCCUAUGCUCCUCCUGUUAUGCUUGACCGAGCGGGUUUGCAUCCCAACCAGUGGAAAGGGGGGAAGGUGGAAUGUGAGGGCAUGUCCCCCUCCCUUUAAGUGCGUGACCUAAAAGUCGCAGGUAUCUCUUCCCCUCACACCUCAUUGGCUGCUACCUAGCUGUGCGGUCAAGUUGAGCCGCACGGGAAGCUGGGAAAUACAGUCUUCAUUCUGGGUGUCCCUGUGCCCAAGUAAAAGUAGGGGUUCUGUGCCUAUAGAAGAAGGGAAGAAUGCAUAUUGAGAAAUGAAACUAAAAAGGGAGAGCUCAAGAGGGGCCAGGACUGCCUCCCAACCCACCCCGACACCUCUCCCACCACCUAGAGGAAGUCAGACUGCAGGGUUCCUGGUCCAGCCUUCCUGGAAGCCCCCAGCCUGCGGCUUCCCUCACUUUCACUCUGUGAUCUGGUGGUUCUCUCAUGGUUCUGGACAGCGCCUCAGUUCAAAACACAGAUCUGUCUUUGAGACAGUGCACAUCCUAUCCAUCUGUGUCAAUCCACAGAUAGAAGACGUCACCUUUUCCUAGGGGGGAUUCUCCAAGAGCCUCAGGUUUGCACGCCCUCUUCUUCACUGCUUUGGGGAACAGAAACCCGUGACUGCCAUUUCGGCUAUCAGUGGGGGCAUGUGAUACAGACCUGAGAUGAACCCAAGACUGGUAUGUGCUAUGUAACACGAGGGACGCUUAUUAGACAUUUGUAAGACUUUUUUUUUUUUAAUGUUUAUUUAUUUUUGAGAGAGAGACCGCGUGCGCGAGCAGUUGGGGGAGGGGCAGAGAGCGAGGGAGACAGAGAAUGCGAAGCAGGCUCCAGGCUCUGAGCCGGCAGCACAGAGCCCGAGGCGGGGCUUGACCUCACGGACGGUGAGAUCAUGACCCGAGCCGAAGUCGGACGCUCGACCGACUGAGCCGCUGAGGCGCCCCUCAGCAGCUAAUUUUAAAUAUGUCACUGCUGCUGGCAUGAUGAUGAGCCCGUAAAAGACCUUUUGUCUUUCCCAGUGACUUCCUUCCCUCAGUAUGAUACAUCAGCCCCAUCCAUGUUGUCACAAAUGGCAAGAUCUCACCCUUUUUUAUGGCUGAGUAAUAUUCCACUGCAAAUAUGUCUGUAUAUAUUUCUUUGGGUAAAAAAUGCCCAGUAGUGGAAUUAGGGGAUGGUACGGUACUUCUGUUUUUAAUUUUUGGAGGAACAUCCAUACGGUUUCCCACAGAAGCUGUACCAGUUUGCACUCCUACCAAAAGUGCACAGGGGUUCCUUUUUCUCCACAUUUUCGUCAAUACUUGUUAUUUCUUGUCUCUUUCACUCUAGUCAUUCUGACAGGUGUGAGGUGAUCAUCUCAUUGUGGUUUUGAUUUGCAUUUCUAGGAUGAGUGAUGUUGAGCACCUUUUCAUGUGUCAUUUGGCCAUCUAUAUGUCUUCCUUGAAAAAAUGUGUAUUCAUGUCCUCUGCCCAUUUUUAAUUGGAUUUUUUUUUUUUUUGGUGUUGAGUUCCAAGUUGGUUUUGAUUCUAUGUUCGUACAUAGCCGAUUACUGAUUUUUUUUUACAAAAUUAUUAUUUAUUAUUUUUUCAACUUUUAAAAAAGUGUUUAUAUUUGAGAGAGAGAGAGAGAUAGAGAGAGCGUGAGCGGGGUAGGAGCAGAGAGGCAGAAACAGAAUAUGAAGCAGGGUCCGGCUCCGAGCUGCGAGCUGUCAACACAGAGCCUGAUGCGGGGCUUGAACCCACAAACCAUGAGAUCAUGACCUGAGCUGAAGUCGGAUGUUCAAUCGACUGUGCGAACCCAGGCACCCCAUGAUUUAUUUUCUUAUAAGACUUAAUUGGUUAGCUUAAGCCUGGUUAUUCAUUAAUAAAAAUGAUAAGCGUUCAAAUCUUUUUAAAUCAAACUUUAGCAACCAGAAGAACUUAAAACAGAAAUAGGGAGUGACCCUAAGAGGUGGGACUGGGAGAAAGACAGAUUAGACUUUUCAUUUAAUAUCAUUCUGAACUGAUGGAAUUUAUUUUUACUCUGUGUAUUAUUUUCAUGGUUUCUAAAGGACACAGGAUGUCAUUUGAGUCUCAAGUUAUAAGCAUCCCGGGUGAUGGGGAAAGUGAUUCCUUCCUUGCAGCUCCAAAAUCUGAAAAAUGGGGGUUUAUUUGGGUUUAUCCUGUUUCUGUUUCAUUCAGCUUCCCGAACAUGUAUGUUUAUAUCUUUCACCCACAUGGGAGGUUUUCAGCCAUUGUUUUUUCAAAUAUUUUUCCUGCACCACUGUUUCUCCUGUACUUCCCAGAUUCUGAUGACCCAGACAUUCACUCUUCUGGAAUUGUUCCACCAUUCCUGGAGUUCUGUUCAUUUCUUCCCCAUCUUUCUCUCUGUUGUCAGAUUGGAUACUUUCUGCCUUCAAGAUCACUGACUUGUUUCUCUGCUGUCUCCGUUCUGCUAGGCACCCAUACAAAGGGUUUUUAAAUUUUUGCUUAUUUUAUUUUUCAGUUAUAAGAUUUUCAUUUUGUCCUUUUUAUGUUCUAUUUAUUGGCUUAAAAUUCCUCCCUCCCCCCCUCCCUCCCUCCUUCCCUUCCUCCCUUCCUUCUUUCCUUCCUUCCUUCCUUCCUUCCUUCCUUUGUAGGCUCCACAUCCAACAUGGAGCCCAAUGCAAGGCUUGAACUCAUGACCCUGAGAUCAAGACCUGAGCUGAGGUCAAGAGUCAGAUGUUUAACCCAGGUAGCCCUGUUUGUUUAAAAUGUCCCUCUAUCCGUUUGUUUCUAGGUGGUUUGCCCUUAUUUGCUGGAGGGUUUUUAUAAUAUCUGCUUUAAUGACUGUCAGAUAAUCCCCACGGCCGUGUCAUUUCAGCACUGGCAGCUGUUGGCCGUCUUCUCCCAUGCGAGUUGGGAUUUUCAUGUUUCCUCAUAUGUCAAGUCACUCUGGAAUAUACCUGGACAUUCUGGGUAUCAUUAGACCUUUCUAAAAAUCCUGCGGAGACUAUUGCCAUAUUGUUCUAGGAGGCCGUGGACCAGAUUGGGCUCAGGCUGUGAGUUCCAACCAGCCUCCCGUGGCUUAUGACUUCAAGGUCAUUUGUAUUUUCAGAGCCUUUCCCAGGCCAUCCUAUAGUAAAUUCUCAAAGUCUGCGCGAACUGUUUCGUGUUUAAUUCACGUACACGAAACAGGGGGAUGGGUGCAGAAGUUUAUUGUUCCCCUACUCUGAGUAUUAGGAGACGUUUGCCUAAUUUAAUCAGAAUGAGGGGGGCCCUAGAGCUUUCUCUGUCUGCCCUGGUGUGCACUUCCAGGCUGAAAGGUGCAUGGAGUCCAGCCUGGGAAAUAUGGGGGAUGGUCAACUCAUUGCUAGCGUGGCUGUACGUCCGAUGCUGGUCUUGUUCCUCCACCUAUCUGCUACUAAGUUUUCAGAGUUCUUAAAUAGCAACUCUGUGUUUUGUCCAGGAUUUUUUUUCUUUUUUAAUGUUUAUUUAUUUUUGAGAGAGAAAGAGUGAGUGAGUGCCAGUGGGGGAGGGGCAGAGAGAGAGAGAGAGGGAGAGAGAGGGAGGGAGACACAGAAUCCGAAGCAGGCUCCAGGCUCCGAGCUGUCAGCACAGAGCCUCAUGCGGGGCUCGAACCCAGUCUGAUCUAGAUGUAUGGGGAGCAUCAGCAAACCUUGUAUGCCUCACCUAAGAUGUGGGGCUUUACCUCGUGAUGUGACCUCUGGGGCUCUCGGCUUUCCCCUUAAUUCUAGCUAACUCUGCCUUUUGUGGGAUGUGUGCCCUCAGUGGGAAGCCUUCUACCCACCUGCCUCCCAUCCUUUGUGACCCCAUCCUUCUCCCAUGGUGGAAUCUUUUUUCCCAUCUAGCAAGGCAAUAGAUAGCGGGCCUGAGUAUAAGAAAUGCAGUGAUAGCUGUUCCAUAUACACUGGUUUAUAUAACCUUCAUCUCAACAUCACUGUUAUUAACCCCCUUUUACAGAAGAGAACACUGAGGUGUAGUUUUGGGGUAAGUUGCCUCCAGUUGUGGGCUAUAACCUAAAAAAUGAUGUCCCAAAGAAGCCAGAUCCCUGGGACCUGUAAAUCUACCUUACAUGGAUACAAGGCCUUUACAGAUAUAUUAAGUUAAGAUCUUGAGAUGGGGAGAUUAUCCUGGAUUAUCAGGGUGGCCCUAAAUGCAAUUACAUGUAUAGGAGAGGGAAACAGAGGGAGAUCUCUCUCUCUCUCUCUCUCUCCCUCCCUCCCUCCCUCCCUUUCCCAUCCCCACCCCCCACAGAAAAGAAGGUGAUGUGACCAUAGAGCUGACACAUUUCAAGAUGCUGGCAUUAAAAACCAGAGCGAUGCAGCCACAAACCAAGGAGAAACAGCCGACACCAGAAGCUGGAAGAGUCAGGGAACAGUGUCUCCCCUGGAGCCCCCAGAAGGAGUACAGCCCUGUCAACACCUUACUUUGCCCCAGUGAUACUGAUUUUGGACUCCGGGCCCCCAGAACUGAGAG
rnacentral:lncRNA from 1 species